rnacentral:rRNA from 1 species
UGGGGAAUAUUGCACAAUGGGCGGAAGCCUGAUGCAGCAACGCCGCGUGAGGGAUGACGGCCUUCGGGUUGUAAACCUCUUUUAGCAGGGAAGAAGCGAAAGUGACGGUACCUGCAGAAAAAGCACCGGCUAACUACGUGCCAGCAGCCGCGGUAAUACGUAGGGUGCAAGCGUUAUCCGGAAUUAUUGGGCGUAAAGAGCUCGUAGGCGGUUUGUCGCGUCUGCUGUGAAAUCCCGAGGCUCAACCUCGGGCCUGCAGUGGGUACGGGCAGACUAGAGUGCGGUAGGGGAGAUUGGAAUUCCUGGUGUAGCGGUGGAAUGCGCAGAUAUCAGGAGGAACACCGAUGGAGAAGGCAGCUCAAAAAACUGUAACUGACACUGAGGCCCGAAAGUGCGGGGAUCAAACA